rnacentral:lncRNA from 1 species
CAAGUCAUUUUUGUAAAUAUAAAUUCUAACCAUAGACGAUACCACAUCAACUAUGGAAUCAAAUGCACCAUUCCAAAUAUGGAAUUGGUAGAGAUACUUGAAAAAGUGCAUACAUGUUUAAGCAAAUGGAUUCACAACUCAGGUGAGUUGAGUGAAAAUGACACCUAUCUCAGUCUUCUUCGUUACAGUUGAAACAUGUGCUUGGGUCUUCCAUUGACGUAGGAUCUGGGGUGUGAAGUAAUCUGUGAAUUUUAUUCAACAUCUAUUUUUCAAUGAAUAGAAGCAUUGAUGCUUCUUAAGAGGAGUUUGAUGCUUAUUUAUUUGUUUUAUUUAGUUUCUGUAAGUCAAAUGGCUAAACCCAUAAUUUAAUAUCACGAGGAGGUAUAGUUUACGCUUAUUAAGAGGAGUUUGAUGCUCUCUCGCAACAUUAACAAUCUUCUUUUGUUGCUUGUAAUUAGAUUUCUGUUGGGUAUUUAUAGCAUGUUUAGUCUGUUAUGCUGUCUAAACUCUGAAUGAAUGACUGUGACCUGAGCAUGGGCUGAACUGCCUUGCCAUACGCUCGGCCUCCUUCGCUUUAAAUUUUAUUUGAACGUAUUAUAUUUAUUUGGUUUAGUUAAAAAUUUAAAAUCCCUGCUAGUCUUAUAAAUUUUCUUUUUUUAAAUACGUUCUAUGUUAUAUGUUUGGCCUUUUUCUUUUUUUUGUUUGUUAUACGUAUUUUAGAAUUAAAAGUGGUGCCCAAGUCAUGCAGUAGGUAGUGCACAAUAGGAUGAGUGGCAUGUUUUCCUGCUGUACCGUACAUCCGCCUUGGCCGUACAGCAGAGUUUGGUUCGCAAUAACAGAGUAUGGAAUAACAAGACUUGUUCAGCUCACCAAGUGCUUAACUCAGCUAGUGGAUGUGUUUUGAGUUGCUAUGUGCGCAAUGUUGGAAAGAAAGCUAAUAAUUUUAAUUUUACAAUACACAUCAUGUGCUUUUCAUAUGUUAUACUCAUCAUCUAAUAAGGUAAAGUUCAAUGCUGUAGUGAGAAUUUGUGUUGCAUGCACCUGAUCCCUCCAAAGUUAUUACAUUAAUGUUCCAAGAACUGAUUUUAGCAUUUUCUCCUAUUAUUAUUAGUCAUUAGAAAAAGGAAAGCAAUAAAAAUAGAUUCAUGAAAAUAUCAAUCUUCUACGUUACAGUUGAAACAUCUGCUUGGAUCUUACAUUGAAUUCGUAGAAUCUGGGGUGUGAAGUAAAUGGAUCCCACAUUUUUUCACCCCGCAGCACUGGCACUCCAAAGGUGGAAAAACAUUAAAGUGGACUGCCUCAGGAAUGCAAUUGCAUUUCCAAAAACCAUUAAAAUCCUCUUCACAGAACAGAUAGUACCCAAAAUGUAAGUGAUCUGAUUCUACAUAAUUAACUCUGCUCUGAGAUAAUCGUGUGUCAUGCGUACCACAAUCUUUGGUGGUUUUCACUUUGAGCUCACAAGAAAAUGAAAACCAUCUGCCACAAUCUACAUGACGGUCUGAAAAUGCUAAAAUAGCACUAAAUGCAAUGCCCUGCACUGCUGUACGGCCAAGGCGGAUGUACGGUACAGCAGAAUUGAUAUUUUUCUUGUCGUCCCUGAG